UCCAGACUCCUACGGGAGGCAGCAGUGAGGCCUCUUUGUCAAUGGUCGUCCGCCUGAACCAGCCCAGUCGCGUUCGUGCAGAAGGCCCUGCGGGUCGCAGCCCUCUUUGGACGGGGCGCACGGCCGCCGCCGUGUCGGCGGAAGGAGAGUACCCGUAGAACAAGCAUCGGCUGACUCCGUGCCAGCAGCCGCGGUAAUACGGAGGAUGCGAGCGUCAUCCGGAUUUAUUGGGUUUAAAGGGUGCGCAGGCGGCACGGCAAGCCGGCGGUCAAAUCGCGGGGCUCAACCCCGCCCAGCCGUCGGAACUGCCGGGCUAGAGUGGGCGAGAAGUGCGCGGAAUGCGUGGUGUAGCGGUGAAAUGCAUAGAUAUCACGCAGAACUCCGAUUGCGAAGGCAGCGCACCGGCGCCCUACUGACGCUCAGGCACGAAAGCGUGGGUAUCGAACAGGAUUAGAUACCCCGGUAC
rnacentral:rRNA from 1 species